UUUUAGUUUAAUGACAAGAAUCUAUUAUCGGGGAGAAGGUUUUAUACGGUUUGUUCGUUUUUGUAUGCAAAUGAUGAUUACGAUUACUUUACCCAGGAAAGUUUACAGUCCGAGAGUUGCUCCUACGGUAUGAUAGGAUCAUAUGACUUCAGCGAGGAUUCCCUUGCCUGUUGUUGCCUGUUGCCUAUUUGAAAGAGUUUUUUCUAACUGGACUGCAGCGCGCGAAAACCAGGAGGUUUGUCAACAUGCUAAAGCGUUGUGGGAUCUGGCUUACAAGGCUGUUGGGAUACGACUUGAUUCAGUUUUUUCACUAUUCACUAAAGGACCGUCAGUUAGACUGAGCCAAGACGUCGGUAAGGUGACCAUUCCUGGACGGAAGACAUUCUAUCGCCUUGUGGGUGACAGUGGAAAUGAAACUUUGGUGGAUAUUGUCCGAGGCGUAGACGAAGCCCAACCAGAACCGGGAAAAGAAUUACAUGUCGCCUUCCUUUGGAGCAGGAAUUUGUCUGUUUACUACAUUUUAUAUCAGCAUAUAUUGUUUUAUCAGGCUGCAGUAAUUAUUUAAUCAGAGAUUCGUUCGUAGGUGAAAGCUUCACUCAUCAGACCGGUAGCAAUGCCAUGUAGGUAAACUGCAUCCAAAUGAUCGGGAAUUCUCAGAAUUAAUGCUGGAGAUUGGGACCAACCGCCUGGAAGCUAUGUUUUGCAUUCACCGGAUCUCCUUCCUUGUGGUUACCUCAACGUACUUGUAUGCAGCCUGACCUACUGCUGCUACUCGAACGACGACAACAUAACAAUAACGCGUGUACGACUACGAGUAUCGGAUAUGUGCUUGCUCUUCAUACUGAUGUAUUUGUCCUUUUUCCGUGUUCUGAAUCGAGCGGAUGUCAUCGCACCAGCAGGACGAUUUUUCCUUCAAUUCUAGUUUUAAGACAAGCGAUAUUCGUUUCUUCGUGUUUUAGUUACGGUUUAUCAUGUGCACGUGAGUUUGGGUAAUCGUGCUUACAAAUAUUUCUUCCAUGAAAUGUGGAGCCCAAUCUAAUGGUAAGCAAACCGUCCGUUGUGAUUUUGAGUUGCAUUAAUGGUCAUCUAUCCUGUAUUUAACCUGUAAUCAGCUAGGUAUUGUAGCGAUAGUAUUUGUACGAACGAUAAGACCGCCCAGUUAUGAUUCAUUCCAUCGCGUUAUGAAUUAAUGUGUCCACUUUACCGGCUAGUUUCCCUUCUCAUGAAUUUCUAGAAUUCAGUCUUGACACUCGCUUGCUACAGCUUGCAUCUACUUGAUUGUGCCUCUUGCUGAAACCCUUGCUUACAACCUUGCUC